AAACUUGGAAACCGAAAACUCGGCGGCCGAGGCUCCGUGCCCCGCGCGCAGCGCUGCUCCUGCCCCGGCCAAGGACGCACGGGCCAGCCGGCGGAACCAGAGGAGUGAAGCUUCAGAUCUUCGCAGUGAGUGUUACAGCUCAUAAAGGCAGCGUGGACCUAAAGAGUGACCAGCAGCAAGAUUUAUUGCGAAGAGCGAAUGAACAUAGCUUUCACAGUGUGGAAGGGGAGGAUUUUUAUAGUAUCAGGACUUGUAUUUAAGUCUUCAAUCCACUUUGAGUUGAUUUUUGUAUAUGGUGUGAAAUAAGAGUCCAUUUUCAUCCUAUGGCAAGUAAAUAUCCAGUUUUCACAACACCGUUUACUGAAGAGACCAUCCUUUCCCCAAUGUGUGUUCUUGGCACCUUUGUUGAAAAUGAAUGGACUAAAUUCAUAACUUGGCCUCUGGGCUCUCUAUUCUGUCCCACUGGUCUCUGUGUCUGUUUUUAUGGCAGUACCAUACUGUUUUGACUACUAUAGCUUUGUAAUAAAAUUACAGAUGCCUUACCAUUCCAUGUCAUUUCCUUCUGCUCUGUCCACACCAUUUUGAAUAAUUUAUUCCUUAAACUCCUUUCAGAUUACCAAAGUAUUUCCUAAUAAUUGGUUGUAUGUGCAUUAAAUAUCUCUAGAAGGAAACACAAAAAAACAAGUAAUCAUUUUCUAUGAGCUAGGAAACUGGGUGGGGAAAAAAACUUUUCAUUGUAUACUUUUACAAUUCUUAUUUUUGAAUAAUGUGGAUGCAUUAGCUAUAUAUGUGCAUGCAUAAUAUAUAUACAAAUAUACAUAAAUGUGUAUGUAGAUAUAUAAAUAAAUAAAAUGCAGUAAUAUCUAA